GCAGACACAUUCCAGCCAAUCAGCAGCAGACCCUCCCUCCCAGACCCUUCCACCUCCUGGACAGCAUCCAUUUUGAAGCUGCAUUCUUAGUGAGCUGUCCAGGAGGUGGGAGGGUCUGGGAGGGAGAGUCUGCUGCUGAUUGGCUGGAAUGUGUCUG
rnacentral:miRNA from 1 species